CUGAACCGAAGGCAGAGGCUUUAACUCACUGAGCCACCCAGGCGCCCCAAUUAAUUCUAUUCUUAAAUAACCACCAUUAUUUGCCAGUAGGAUAUAGGUGCGCCCCAGCCCUGCACAACUUCUGACACCUUGGAAUCAGUGUGGACACCACCACCUUCAUUUCCUGCCCCAUAUCAGUAUUUUGUGUGUGAUACUCACUCUUUAGCACAACAGUCAAAAACUCAGCUUCAAAAAGAUAAGACAUCCUGAAAUUGUAAACCGCCUGGCGCUGGUAGUAUCAAGUAUUGCUGUGUUUCCCUCAGAAAUGUAAAAUAUCCCACGGCACCCCAGGGUUCCUUGGUGCACAGUUUGGGAAGCGUAGCUUUAAUGCACUCUUAAUUGUGUUAAAGAACAGUAGGGAGGAGCCUGGAGAAGACUUCUGAUUGGGAGCCAAGGGAUGCUUUUACUUUGUGACCUCAGCCGGUUGCCAGGGUCUUGGGACCCUUUUCUGACCAGAGCAGGGACUGAUGAGGGAACAGUAGGCAAGCUGAGGAUAAAGCAGAAGUUGAAACCCCACAGCCCUGCCCCCUCAGAUGGGAUAUGUGUGCCAUUCCUCACUCCUGGCUGUCCUAAAGCUAAGAUGUCAUCAGCUCCCAAAAGCCUGAACCAGGAGGGAGAUCCCUGCCCAAGGUCACUAUUUUAAUGCUGGGGCUCAAAUGUUAUCCAGAAACUUUCACCUUCAUCUGAGGAGCAAAAGAAAAUGGAGUCAGCAGAAUGGCAACUACUCUUAUUCUUUUGAGGGGACAACCAUAUGGAAUGACUUACCCUUAAGGAUGGAAAUUCCAAACCCAGAGGCUGACAUGUGUCCCUAAAACAAGAGCCGCACCUCGGAAUCUCACCUCAAUAUCAGGAUGAAUCACUGGUCCCACCCACCCAACUCAGCUGUCCCCCUCUCCCCUAAUCAAUGAGACCUCAGGGGUUCUACCAAACCUAUCUUGUGAGAAUCAGAUUCAAGAACAUCCAGCCAUUAAUCCCCAACGUCUCCCUUGGGUUGACAGUUUCACUAUUCUUGAUUUUAGCUCUAUCGUUAAAUUUAAAAUAAACCAAACAC
rnacentral:lncRNA from 1 species